UGGGGAAUAUUGGACAAUGGGCGCAAGCCUGAUCCAGCCAUGCCGCGUGAGUGAAGAAGGCCUUCGGGUUGUAAAGCUCUUUUACCAGGGACGAUAAUGACGGUACCUGGAGAAUAGGCCCCGGCAAACUUCGUGCCAGCAGCCGCGGUAAUACGAAGGGGGCUAGCGUUGUUCGGAAUUACUGGGCGUAAAGCGCACGUAGGCGGAUUGUUAAGUCAGAGGUGAAAUCCCGGAGCUCAAACUUCGGAACUGCCUUUGAUACUGGCAAUCUAGAGUCCGGAAGAGGUUAGUGGAAUUCCCAGUGUAGAGGUGAAAUUCGUAGAUAUUGGGAAGAACACCAGUGGCGAAGGCGGCUAACUGGUCCGGUACUGACGCUGAGGUGCGAAAGCGUGGGGAGCAAACAGGAUUAGAUACCCCCGUAGUCCCUGAGCGGGCUGGCAAGGCG
rnacentral:rRNA from 1 species